rnacentral:rRNA from 1 species
AACGAACGCUGGCGGCAUGCCUAACACAUGCCAGUCGAACGAAACCUUCGGGUCUAGUGGCGCACGUGUGCUUAACGCGGGGUAACCUGCCCUUAGGUUCGGUAUAACUCCCUGAAAGGGAUGCUAAUACCGGAUAAGGUCUUCGGACCAAAGAUUUAUCGCCUUUGGAUGGGCCCGCGUUGGAUUAGCUGGUUGGUAGGGUAAAAGCCUACGAAGGGGACGAUCGAUAGCUGGUCUGAGAGGAUGAUCAGCCACACUGGGACUGAGACACGGGCCAGACUCGUGCGGGAGGAAGCAGUGGGGAAUAUUGGACGAUGGGAGAAAGCUUGAGCCAGCACUGCCGCGUGAGGGAGGAAGGCGUGAGGGAUGUAGAGUUCUUUUACCAGGGAUGAUAAGGACAGUAACGGGAGAAUAAGCCCCGGCUAACUCCGUG